rnacentral:tRNA from 1 species
GGGCCUGUAGCUCAGUUGGUUAGAGCGCACCCCUGAUAAGGGUGAGGUCGACCGUUCGAGUCGGUCCAGGCCCA